GCGCGGGAGGGCGCGGGAGGGCGCGGGAGGGCGCGGGCUCCGGGGCUCUCGCGCGACGCGCGCCCCCGCCGUGCUGCCGCUCCCGGCUCCCUCCGCCGCCGUCCCGCGGGCACCCGUGGCUGCUGGGCCCGGACGCCGAGCUCGUGCAGCCCGCCGAGCGCCUUAGCGGGUGGUGCCUGCCCGAGGCCCGGCCUGCGCUUGGCUAAGAUGCUAAGGUCCCGCCUCGCGUCGCUGGUGCCGGGAUUCGUUAGGUUAGGCCUGGGCUCCCAAGCCACCCAAGCGGCCUCUACCUUUCCAUCUGGUUAUCAAGACACACCACGGAGCGUCUGUACACUGCGGGGUGCUGGGGACCCAGCCCAGCCCGCCCGGUCCCUGCCAGGGGCCGUGGCAUGUCACGUUGGUGAAGGGUCGGGGUCGGGGGCGCCUGAAACAGCCACUCACAGGUGCUGACGGCAGUUGCAGACACAGGACCCCGAGGAGAGAGGGCCCCCCACCCCCCACCUCGGCUGGGGUUGGAUGCACUUCCCGGAGAGACAUGUGGAAACAUCCAGCAGAGGAUACAGAGGCAAGUCCAGCGGCUGAGAGGGGCAGCCUCUUUGCUUCUGAGCCAACUCACAGAGUGAGAACUCCCUCCUGUUGGCCCCCAAGCUGCUCACCCAUCCCUAAUACUUAAGCAGCUUGGUCCAGACUGGUUUUGGAUGGAAAACCAGACCCAGAACUGGAGUAGUCCAGGGAGAAAGUUUCUUGGCAGUUUUCUUUGUCCUGGGACUGUUGUCUCCUGCAAGAGGCACGACUGAAUGCUGAAGACCCAUCAGUAUGGGGAGGGGCCCCGUGCCCACCUCAGCCAGCCCCCCAGUGGGCCCAGCCCCCCGCGGAACGCAGCUGCAUGGAGCCUGGCCAACCCACAGGAUUGUGGAAAAUAAUAACUCCUCGCUUCUUCAGCCAUUCAGUUUGGGCAUAGCCCACCAUACAGCAAUAGAGAACCUACAAUGGAUCACCCACACCACUAGCCUGUGUGACCGUGGCCCUCGGGAGGUUGGCUGCAGUGUGAGAGCCCCCAUUUGAUGGUUGCGCAAACUGAGAUGCAGAGGGACGCUAGUUCAUAAAAUCACACGGAGAACUGACAGAAGCUCAGAAACCCACUCGCAUUUGACAGAGCAGCGCGGAAGCUUGUGAAUGUGGGAGAGCUGCGGCAGAGCUGAGGCUCCCUACCCUCCGGCCACCCCAAGAUCUCCGCGGAGCCUGCGCUGUAAAGCUUUUUCUCAUGCUGAUUCCUCCGCUUGCAGUGCCUUUCCUGGUGAAGGAGGAAGGGAGAAAGAGGCCACGCGCUGGCUGGACCAGGCCCAGCGAGGAAUUCCCCCUCUGACCUACAGUUCCGAAUCCCUUGCCAUAGGCUAGAAUCCCAGCUUCAUCUCAGGGGCAGCUGGUCUGUGGGCCAUCCCUAAUCGGAUGCUGAUGGAAAGAAUAUUCCCAGGGAAUAUGGCUCCUUCCCCUUCCCAUUUCCUCUACUCAACACCGUGCACUUAUCCUCUUAAAGAAGGUCGGCUUCCUGUUGUAUAUUCUACUUGAAAGUAAGGCAGAUGGGGCCUGUCACUCGUGGCAGGUUUCCUGGAGGUGGGAACUUUUGACCCAGUCCGAACAGUGGUAAAAUUCAUAAGCCCAGAUGACGUAGAAUUGGGGCUCACAGAUGUUCACUUUACACAGAGCACCUCCGACAUGCCAGUGCUGGUGGUAGAGCCGUGAACGACAGACACAAAGUCCUGCCCUCGUUGCACCCGGGCACUUCGUCUUUUAAAUUGUUAUUAAGGUUGACAGGAAGCCAUCAAAAUGCUGGAGGAGAAAGCAGGCAAAAACCUGCUUGUAGCAGGUUUUGAUCUUGCCCGAAGCAAUUUCUUACUCAACAGGUCUCCGGAGGCAAGGGAAACAAAAGCAAAAAUGAACUUCUGGGACCUCAUCAAAAUAAAAAGCUUCUGCACAGCGAAGGAAACAAUCAGCAAAACUAAAAGGCAACCGACAGAAUGGGAGAAGAUAUUUGCAAAGGACAUAUCCGAUAAAGGGUUAGUAUCCAGAAUCUACAAAGAACUUCUCAAACUCAACACCCAAAAAACAAAUAAUCCCGUGAAGAAAUGGGCAAAAGACAUGAAUAGACCCUUCUCCAAAGACAUCCAGAUGGCCAACCAACACAUGAAAAAAUGCUCAACUUCACUCAUCAUCAGGGAAAUACAAAUCAAAACCACAAUGAGAUACCACUUCACACCUGUCAGAAUGGCUAACAUUAACAACUCAGGCAACAACAGAUGUUGGCGAGGAUGCGGAGAAAGAGGAACCCUUUUGCACUGCUGGGGGGAAUGCAAACUGGGGCAGCCAUUCUGGAAAACAGUAUGGAGGUUUCUCAAAAAACUAAAAAUAGAACUACCCUAUAACCCAGCAAUUGCGCUACUAGGUAUUUAUCCAAGGGAUAUAGGAGUGCUGUUUUGAAGGGGCACAUGCACCCCAAUGUUUACAGCAGCACUAUCAACAAUAGCCAAAGUAUGGAAAGAGCCCAAAUGUCCAUCGAUGGACGAAUGGAGAAAGAAAAUGUGGUAUAUAUAUACAAUGGAGUAUUACUCGGCAAUCCAAAAGAAUGAAAUCUUGCCAUUUGCAACUACGUGGAUGGAACUGGAGGGUGUUAUGCUAAGUGAAAUGAGUCAGUCAGAGAAAGACAAAAAUCAUAUGACUUCACUCCUAUGAGGACUUUAAGAGACAAAACAGAUGAACAUAAGGGAAGGGAAACAAAAAAUAAUAUGAAAACGGAGGGGGACAGAACAGAAGAGACUCAUAAAUAUGGAGAACAAACUGAGGGUAGUUGGAGGGGUUGUGGGAGGGGGGAUGGGCUAAAUGGGUAAGGGGCACUAAGGAAUCUACCGAAAUCAUUGCUUCGCUAUAUACUAACUAAUUAGGAUGUAAAUUUUAAAAAAUAAAAAAUAAAGUUAAGCCAAAAAAAAUUGUUAUUGAGGUUAAAAGAUGCGUAACAUAAAGUUUGUCGCCUUAACCGUGUCUAAGUUCACAGUUCAGUGGCGAUGAGUUCAUUCACAUCCCUACUGCCCAUCUCCAGACCUCUUCAUCUUCCCAAACUGAACCGCUGUACCCGUUCAACACUGACUCCCCGUGCCCCUCCCCCAUUCCCUGCCAGCUGCCAUUUGAUUUUCGGUCUCUACAAAUUGGACUAUUCUAGGAACCUCCCAUGAGAAGAAUCAUGAGGUGUUUGUCUUUUUGCGACUGGCUUAUUUCACUUAGCAUAACGUCCUGACGGUCAUUCGUGUUAUCCAUGUUGUAGCAGCAUGUGUCAGAAUGGCCCUCCCUUUUUUGGCUGAAAAAUAUUCCGUUGCAUGUAUAUAUCACAUUUUGUUUAUCCCAUUCAUCUGUCAGUGGACCAAUGGACACUUGGGUUCCUUCCACCUUUUCCCUUUACUCUAAAAUAUUAUUAAACUGGUUACUAAUAAUGAAAAAUGGGGAGGCCUCACGUACAAACCCUGACAUCUGCUAUGUCUUGAAAAACUAGAAGAGGGGCGCCUGGGCGGCUCAGUCGGUUAAACGUCCGGCUUUGGCUCAGGUCACGAUCUCUCGGUUUGUUGAGUUCGAGCCCCACGUCGCACUCUGUGCUGACAGCUCAGAGCCUGAAGCCUGCUUCGGAUUUGUGUCCCCUCUCCCUCUGCCGCUUCCCCGCAUGCACUUGGUCAUGUUCUGUCUCUCACAAUUAGAUGAACAUUAAAAAAAAAAAAAAAAAGAUGAAAAGAGCAAAUGUUUAAAAAAAAAAAGAAAAAGAAAACUAGAAGAAACAGUAGCCCUGAGUCGCUGCUCUCAUGGUCAGCCCCUCCCUCCCACGUCCCCCACAUCCCCAGACCUGCGGGCCAGUUUCUGCCUCAACAGUGCUUUAUCCUCACCUAGGCCUUGCGGUUCCUGGAGGGGGUGGGAAAGGACCGUUAAGUGCUUGUGGGUUGGUCACCUGUUUGUCUUAAAUAUUUUUUGUUUUAAGUUUACUUAUGUAUUUUGAGAGAGACAGUGAAAGCAUGAGCUGGGGAGGGCCAGAGAGAGAGAGAGAGAGAGAGAGGGAGGGAGAGAGAGAAUCCCAAGCAGGCUCUGUGCCAUCAGCACAGAGCCCGACAUGGAGCUCUAACUCACCAAGCCAUGAGAGAUCAUGACCUGAGCCAAAAUCAAGAGUCGGACGCUUAACUGACUGAGCCACCCAAGUGCCCUUAAAUAUUUUUUAAUAACAAUUUUGAAAGAGAAAGUUGUAGCAGAGUGGGAAUAAAAUGCCACCGUUUAUAUGAAAAAGAACAUUAGCACUUAUAUAUGGCUGCGCACGUGUAGAGGAGAAAAGGAGCCCACAGCUCUGGAGGAAGGACAAAGAUAGCAGGAGGCUUGAGUUAAAUUUUAUUUAUUUCCUUUUCCACAUUAAAAGUUUUUAAUGGGGAAAAAAAGUUUAAGAACCCCAGCUAGGCCCCUCUCCCCUUGGGCAAAAUCAGAAGUCUCUAUAGGUGUCUCCCGCUUUAAGAAAACCAGCUUGAGAGGGGCUCCUGGGUGGCUUCAUCAGUUAAGCGGCCCACUUCUGCUAAGGUCAUGAUCUCAUGGUUGGUGAGUUUGAGUUCCGUGUGGGGCUCUGUGCUAACAACAGGGAGCCUGCUUGUGAUUCUCUCUCUCUCUCUCUCUCUGCCCCUCUCCUGCACUCGUGCGUCUGUGUGUGUGUGUGUGUGUGUGUGUGUCUCAAAAAGUGAAUAAAGGCUAAAAAAAAUAAAAUAA